rnacentral:rRNA from 1 species
UUGGAGGGCAAGUCUGGUGCCAGCAGCCGCGGUAAUUCCAGCUCCAAUAGCGUAUAUUAAAGUUGUUGCAGUUAAAAAGCUCGUAGUUGAAUUUCGGGACCAUCAUGUCGGUCGUGCCUCGGUACGUACUGGCAUUGUUGGUUUCUCCCUUCUGACGAACCAUGAUGUCAUUUAUUUGGUGUUGUGGGAAAUCAGGACUGUUACUUUGAAAAAAUUAGAGUGUUUAAAGCAGGCUCACGCUUGAAUACAUUAGCAUGGAAUAAUGAAAUAGGACGUUUGAUUCUAUUUUGUUGGUUUCUAGGAUCGACGUAAUGAUUAAUAGGGAUAGUUGGGGGCAUUAGUAUUCAAUUGUCAGAGGUGAAAUUCUUGGAUUUAUUGAAGACUAACUACUGCGAAAGCAUUUGCCAAGGAUGUUUUCAUUAAUCAAGAACGAAAGUUAGGGGAUCGAAGACGAUCAGAUACCGUCGUAGUCUUAACCAUAAACUAUGCCGACUAGGGAUCGGAUGAUGUUGAUUUUUUAAUGACUCAUUCGGCGCCUUACGGGAAAC